UGUGUGUGUGUGUGUGUGUGUGUGUGUAUGUGUGUGUGAGGAAGAUUGGCCUUGAGCUAAGAUCUAUUGCCAGUCUUCCUCUUUUUUCUUUUCCUCUUUGAGGAGGAUUGUUGCUGAGCUAACAUCUGUGCUAAUCUUCCUCUGCUUUAUGUGGGAUACCUCCACAGUGUGGUUUGACAAGUAGUACUAGGUCCACGCCUGGGAUCCAAACCCCCAAACCUUGGGCCGCUGAAGUAGAGUACACAAACAACCACUACACCACUGGGCUGGCCCCUAACUUGAGGUAUUUUAAAGCAAACCUUAGAUAUGGUGACAUUUUACCUGUAAAUAUCUCAGUAUGCAUCCCUGCCAGGAACUUUGGUGUAUAUUUAUUUGUCUGUUAUUUGUUGUUUUUUUCUCUGUUACUAAGAAGCUAUUAUUACAGCUAAUAGAAUUAGUUAUUUCUUAAUAUCAUUUAAUACCAAGUCCAUAUUCAAAUGUCCCUAAUUAUCUGUCUAUUUAUAAUAGGUUUUAUCUGUUUAAAACAUGUCUAUUUAUAAUAAGUUUUGAAUCAAGAUCUGUACUACAAUUGGUUGUAUGUGUCUUAAAUUUCUUUUAUUCUGUGUCAAACCUGUUAUUUUUUAAUGCUAAUGAUUUGUUGAAGAAACCAAGUUAUUUGUCCUUUGAAUGUCCAACAUUCUAGAUUUGGCCUUUUUCAUUUUGUUAUUCAUUUUGUUCCUAUGUUUGUCCUAUUUGCUGUAAACUAGGAGUUAGAUCUUAGACUAGAUCAGAUCCAGGCAAUUUUGUUGUUGUUUUCAUUUGGUUUGUAAGCCAAGAGUAUUUCAUUGUGCUUAAUGAGACAUAUAAUAUCUGGUUGUCUCACUUAUGGUAAUGCUGAAAUUUAUCAGUGGGUUCAUGUGCUAGUAAACUGAUUUUCUUCAAAACAAGAUUUUAUAUCAACAUUUUACCUGAAACUUUUAUCAUCCAUUCGUAAUUGUUUCCUAGGUCCAUUAUCUCAUUAGGAUAAAAGGAUAAAUACUUGCAAUUCAAAUUUCAGAGUAAUAGGUUAGCACUCUACCAGUGACCAAUGAAGAUUUGGCAUUGCUGUUCCUAUUGUUGCUUUUAUUAUCAUUAUAGAGUCAUAGAUUUUACAUAUGUGAUCUGAUUCAACCCAUUGCAAUCAUCAUUCUUUUCACUACUGAAAUGAGAAUUCCAUUAUCAUGUUUUGUAUUAAAGGUACUAUCAUUAAAGUAUAAAAGUUUUAUGGUUUUACAUUAUUUUACUUUUUUCCGAAAGUGAUAGCCAGUGCAAUCAGAUUCUAAAAACAAUAGCCAUAAGUGGUAGAUGUGGAAAAAAAUAAU
rnacentral:lncRNA from 1 species